rnacentral:rRNA from 1 species
CAGUCGCCGCGGUAAAACAGAGGGUGCAAGCGUUAAUCGGAAUUACUGGGCGUAAAGCGCGCGUAGGUGGUUUGUUAAGUUGGAUGUGAAAUCCCCGGGCUCAACCUGGGAACUGCAUCCAAAACUGGCAAGCUAGAGUAUGGUAGAGGGUGGUGGAAUUUCCUGUGUAGCGGUGAAAUGCGUAGAUAUAGGAAGGAACACCAGUGGCGAAGGCGACCACCUGGACUGAUACUGACACUGAGGUGCGAAAGCGUGGGGAGCAAACAGGAUUAGAUACCCGUGUAGUCCCUGUCUCUUAUAC